AGAACGAACGCUGGCGGCAUGCCUAAUACAUGCAAGUCGAACGAACACUUCGGUGUUAGUGGCGCACGGGUGCGUAACGCGUGGGAAUCUGCCCUUGGGUUCGGAAUAACAGUUGGAAACGACUGCUAAUACCGGAUGAUAUCGAAAGAUCAAAGAUUUAUCGCCCAGGGAUGAGCCCGCGUAGGAUUAGCUAGUUGGUGAGGUAAAGGCUCACCAAGGCGACGAUCCUUAGCUGGUCUGAGAGGAUGAUCAGCCACACUGGGACUGAGACACGGCCCAGACUCCUACGGGAGGCAGCAGUAGGGAUAUGGACAAUGGGCGAAAGCCUGAUCCAGCAAUGCCGCGUGAGUGAUGAAGGCCUUAGGGUUGUAAAGCUCUUUACCGAGAUGAUAAUGACAGUAUCGGAGAAUAAGCCCGGCUAACCGUCCCUGCCAGCACGCCUC
rnacentral:rRNA from 1 species